rnacentral:lncRNA from 1 species
AUGUUGAGAUUUGGGCAGCAUCUCAUCAAGCCCUCUGUGGUCUUCCUGAAGACGGAGCUCUCCUUUGCUCUUGUGAACCGGAAGCCAGUCGUCCCAGGGCGUAUCCUUUCAACCAGAGCCUCAAUCAUGAGCGCGUAUGGGCCGUUCAGCGUUCUGUGGAAAAGUGGGAGAUACUCUGCACGUUCUGAAGGCCAGCCCAGUUACCAACUGAGGAAGCCAGCCACAGGAAUACCUGUUAUUUGUAUCAUGAUAAAGUGUAAUGGUCCAAACCAAAUGCUUGAGUUUCAUCACAUUUGUGGUCUAAAAGAGCAACCAUUUGACAGCUGUAGAGCACCCUAUCCUGUUUAUCUUCAUUGAGGAAAAAGCAGCAGAGCAGGAGAUGAAUAUGGAUAUCGGCAUUUUC